UCGCAGGUAACUGCUUGAAAGGUAUGGUAUUAUCAACCUCUUUUGAUAUCAUGCACUCAACAUUCUUUAUAUAACUGACGUUUUCAUAACACCUAGCACGGUACUGCUACAACCUGAACGCACAAACUGAGACAGAAUAGUAUAGUACUGUUCUGUCUCAGCUUGUGCUGCCUACUAUUCUGCCCCGCUGCUCUGCCCUCGAGUGAAACGGGCAUAACUUUGCAACUCAAAUAUCAUGAACUAAGCGUAAUACUUUCUGUUACCCUGGUACUUUUCACUCUUUUCUCACCACGAUAUUCGUCACUUAUUCCAGAUGUCUUCAAUUCCAAAAACAAAAAUAUGGUAUAGGUCCUCGGUAAAGCAUGGGUCCGGAUGACUCAUGGUUUCAUAAGAGUAUUAUUUAUUCCUUACUGGAUACUAGUUACGAACAAUCAUACAGGUAUCAGUAAAGGUAAAAAUCCUAUUACUUGGAUACCGGUAUCCUAUGAGGAUCAUUUUUUAUUUUUAUGUAACUGGUUACAAAACUCCGGUUACAUACGCGGCCGAAGGGUUUAUUUACAUCAUAAACAAAAACCUCUUUGACAUGCCAAGGUCCCGGGCGCAAGCAAGCUAAUGUAUACCUAACUUGUAAGUGUCAAGUUUAUUUUGACAGUGUCUUAUGACAGACGUUUUUAGUUGUCCCUGGCGAUGUGGGGCUGUGGGCACGACUACAGUCAGAACAAGACAAGUCUGCAACGAUUUUGAUAGCACACGCAGAGCAAGUGUUAUUUUUCUACGUCAUAAUUUCAUAGAUGUUUGACGUGCCCCUCCCCCGCAAAAAUCAGUAGACUGUAACAGGCUUGUUUUGUACAGAAAAUUCAGGCAAGGCGUCUCCAAUUGUCAAAUCCUCCAAGGUUAAAAUCGACAAUCUAGUCCAAACAUCUUAGAAAGGCGUCAUCAUAGUCUAUGAAUAAAGCACUAAAAAAUAAAAGUGACAUUUGUCAUUUUAUAUCGGGUAUCAUUUAAAAUCAUAAAUUUAUUUACAGAAAAUAAUUCUAAAAGAAAAUCUACCAAACUAAUUUACAAUAAAAACCAUAAAUUCCCAAGAUUUGAUCAGUGUUCCGUCCUAUUGACAAGGAGACAAAUCAUGAAUGGACCAGAGCAACCAUGUUGAGCUACCUUCUUAUAAUAAUUAAGAAGUGGAGGGCGAUCCUUAUUUUAACAGUCGGAAACUUAUGCCUGACGAAACCGAGACGUUAUAUAAAAUGCAUUUAUGAUUGUUUCAGAGCCGGGGAAGGACAUCAGGAUAGUUUCUAUGAUUCAUCAUCAUUCUACGUCUACGCGGACGAAGUCGAGGGCAGAAACUAGUACUUAAAUAAAUGCAAUAUAAAUAAUAUUACUUAAUUAAGAGGGUAACAUAAAUAAUAACUAGACUUCGAUAGGUACCUAAAACAGUUUUAUAUUAAAUCAGGUUUCGUUGGAGGAAGAGUCCGAAUUUUGAGCAACGAUGCUAUGCGAGAAGUCGCGCAAAACAACGCGAGUUGCGUAUCCUGUACUGGAGGCCAAGACCCACGGUGCUGCUGAUUUACAAAUGAAAAUUUGUGUAAUGAUAUGCAAACGAAACCAGAGGAAUUAAGUGUUCAGCGGAACUGCUCCUGAAAAAAAGAUUGCUGUCAUAAGAGAUGCGGGUAUCUACUUUCAAUAUGUGUGACCAGCCUAUAAGAUCGAACCUGAAGCAAACAAGACAAUUUACCCUUAAAUGUAUUAGUAUAAGUUUGCCUAUUUAUUAUUAAUUCUCCAUAUUGCCUAAUAAAACAACUAUAUUGUGCAUUAGAAGACAGUAUCAUCCGGACAUGGUAUAUCAGAAUGUUACGUUCUGUGGAUAUACUCUGUUCUAAUGCACAGACAUUUUUAUUGUGUGAUUAA